rnacentral:lncRNA from 1 species
AGCCCCUCCCUCCCGUCCUCCAUCCUUCUCUCCUUUUUGUCGUCUGUGCGUGUGUCCUUUCUCUGCCUGUCGUUCCCCUCUCCCAUCUGUCUGUCCACCUGUUUGGUCGGUCCCUCCACAGCUCCUGCUACUCCUGUCCCUGACCCAGAGCCUCGAGCGGCAGUUGCGGGCGGCGCUGGUCCCGCUCGCGGCCCUGCGGUUCCGCCUGCUCCUCCUGUCCCUCCGGGGUCUCCUGCUCGUGGCCCGGGCCAAAAUGCUGGCCACCCUGCUCAUCACCCGGCAGCUGCUGCAGAAUGUGCGUGAGGUGCUGCAGCCGCACCUGUACCGCAGGUUGGGCAGCGGGGAGCUGGGCCUGCGCACCAUCCUGGAGCUGGCCCGGGCCCUGCUAGGCUUGCUCAACCCCUUGCGCCCGGACCCCCGACGGCACUUGGAGGCCCAGGCUGAUGAGGGCGGAGCGGGGAGCCGCAGGUGCCUGGGCGGUGGCUGCGGGGCGCCCG